UACGAAGGGGGCUAGCGUUGCUCGGAAUUACUGGGCGUAAAGCGCACGUAGGCGGCUUCUUAAGUCGGUGGUGAAAUCCUGGAGCUCAACUCCAGAACUGCCUUCGAUACUGGGAAGUUCGAGUCCGGGGAGAGGUGAGUGGAACUGCGAGUGUAGAGGUGAAAUUCGUAGAUAUUCGGAAGAACACCAGUGGCGAAGGCGACUUACUGGACACAUAUUGACGCUGAGGUGGCGAAAGCGUGGGGAGCAAACAGG
rnacentral:rRNA from 1 species